AUACGGAAGGUCCGGGCGUUAUCCGGAUUUAUUGGGUUUAAAGGGAGCGCAGGCGGCCUUUUAAGCGUGACGUGAAAUGUGGAUGCUCAACAUCUGAACUGCGUCGCGAACUGGAGGGCUUGAGUGGGUACGACGCCGGCGGAAUUCGUGGUGUAGCGGUGAAAUGCUUAGAUAUCACGAAGAACCCCGAUUGCGAAGGCAGCCGGCGAGUCCUCAACUGACGCUAAAGCUCGAGAGUGCGGGUAUCGAACAGGAUUAGAUACCCUGGUAGUCCGCACGGUAAACGAUGGAUGCCCGCUGUUGGCGAUACAAUGUCAGCGGCCAAGCGAAAGCGUUAAGCAUCCCCCCUGGGGAGUACGCCGGCAACGGUGAAACUCAAAUGAAUUGACGGGG
rnacentral:rRNA from 1 species